rnacentral:rRNA from 1 species
CAGGUGCUGCAUGGCUGUCGUCAGCUCGUGUCGUGAGGAUGUUGGGUUAAGUCCCGCAACGAGCGCAACCCUUGUCAUUAGUUGCUACGAAAGGGCACUCUAAUGAGACUGCCGGUGACAAACCGGAGGAAGGUGGGGGAUGACGUCAAGUCCUCAUGGCCCUUAUGGGUAGGGCUUCACACGUCAUACAAUGGUCGGGACAGAGGGUUGCCAACCCGCGAGGGGGAGCUAAUCUCAUAAACCCGAUCGUAGUCCGGAUUGCAGUCUGCAACUCGACUGCAUGAAGUCGGAAUCGCUAGUAAUCGCGGAUCAGCAUGUCGCGGUGAAUACGUUCCCGGGUCUU